GUGGCAGCCGCCGCGGUAAUACGUAGGGUCCAAGCGUUGAUCGGAAUUACUGGGCGUAAAGCGUGCGCAGGCGGUUGUGCAAGACCGAUGUGAAAUCCCCGGGCUUAACCUGGGAAUUGCAUUGGUGACUGCACGGCUAGAGUGUGUCAGAGGGGGGUAGAAUUCCACGUGUAGCAGUGAAAUGCGUAGAGAUGUGGAGGAAUACCGAUGGCGAAGGCAGCCCCCUGGGAUAACACUGACGCUCAUGCACGAAAGCGUGGGGAGCAAACAGGAUUAGAUACCCCUGGUAGUCCACGCCCUAAACGAUGUCAACUAGUUGUUGGGGAUUCAUUUCCUUAGUAACGUAGCUAACGCGUGAAGUUGACCGCCUGGGGAGUACGGUCGCAAGAUUAAAACU
rnacentral:rRNA from 1 species